UGACGUCAAAUCAUCAUGCCCCUUAUGACCUGGGCUACACACGUGCUACAAUGGUUGGUACAACGAGUUGCGAGUCGGUGACGGCGAGCUAAUCUCUUAAAGCCAAUCUCAGUUUCGGAUUGUAGGCUGCAACUCGCCUACAUGAAGUCGGAAUCGCUAGUAAUCGCGGAUCAGCACGCCGCGGUGAAUACGUUCCCGGGCCUU
rnacentral:rRNA from 1 species